GUGGGGAAUAUUCCGCAAUGGACGAAAGUCUGACGGAGCAACGCCGCGUGAGUGAUGAAGGUUUUCGGACUGUAAAGCUCUGUUGUUUAGGACGAAAGUGCCUGUUGCGAACAGUUACAGGUAUUGACGGUACUAAACGAGGAAGCCACGGCUAACUACGUGCCAGCAGCCGCGGUAAUACGUAGGUGGCAAGCGUUGUCCGGAAUUAUUGGGCGUAAAGAGCAUGUAGGCGGAGAUUUAAGUCUGUUGUGAAAAUGCGGGGCUCAACCCCGUAUUGCGAUGGAAACUGAAGUGCUUGAGUGCAGGAGAGGAAAGGGGAAUUCCCAGUGUAGCGGUGAAAUGCGUAGAUAUUGGGAGGAACACCAGUGGCGAAGGCGCCUUUCUGGACUGUGUCUGACGCUGAGAUGCGAAAGCCAGGGUAGCGAACGGGAUUAGAUACCCUUGUAGUCC
rnacentral:rRNA from 1 species